UAGGGAAUCUUCGGCAAUGGACGGAAGCCUGACCGAGCAACGCCGCGUGAGUGAAGAAGGUUUUCGGAUCGUAAAGCUCUGUUGUAAGAGAAGAACGAGUGUGAGAGUGGAAAGUUCACACUGUGACGGUAUCUUACCAGAAAGGGACGGCUAACUACGUGCCAGCAGCCGCGGUAAUACGUAGGUCCCGAGCGUUGUCCGGAUUUAUUGGGCGUAAAGCGAGCGCAGGCGGUUAGAUAAGUCUGAAGUUAAAGGCUGUGGCUUAACCAUAGUAGGCUUUGGAAACUGUUUAACUUGAGUGCAAGAGGGGAGAGUGGAAUUCCAUGUGUAGCGGUGAAAUGCGUAGAUAUAUGGAGGAACACCGGUGGCGAAAGCGGCUCUCUGGCUUGUAACUGACGCUGAGGCUCGAAAGCGUGGGGAGCAAACAGGAUUAGAUACCCUGGUAGUCCACGCUGUAAACGAUGAGUGCUAGGUGUUAGACCCUUUCCGGGGUUUAGUGCCGUAGCUAACGCAUUAAGCACUCCGCCUGGGGAGUACGACCGCAAGGUU
rnacentral:rRNA from 1 species